rnacentral:rRNA from 1 species
GACGAACGCUGGCGGCGUGCUUAACACAUGCAAGUCGAACGGAAAGGCCCUGCUUUUGUGGGGUGCUCGAGUGGCGAACGGGUGAGUAACACGUGAGUAACCUGCCCUUGACUUUGGGAUAACUUCAGGAAACUGGGGCUAAUACCGGAUAGGAGCUCCUGCUGCAUGGUGGGGGUUGGAAAUUUUCGGCGGUUGGGGAUGGACUCGCGGCUUAUCAGCUUGUUGGUGGGGUAGUGGCUUACCAAGGCUUUGACGGGUAGCCGGCCUGAGAGGGUGACCGGCCACAUUGGGCCUGAGAUACGGCCCAGACUCCUACGGGAGGCAGCAGUGGGGAAUAUUGCACAAUGGGCGGAAGCCUGAUGCAGCAACGCCGCGUGCGGGAUGACGGCCUUCGGGUUGUAAACCGCUUUCGCCUGUGACGAAGCGUGAGUGACGGUAAUGGGUAAAGAAGCACCGGCUAACUACGUG